rnacentral:rRNA from 1 species
GGCUCAGAAUGAACGCUGGCGGCGUGCCUAACACAUGCAAGUCGCACGAGAAAGGGGGCUUCGGUCCCCGAGUAAAGUGGCGCACGGGUGAGUAACGCGUGGGUGACCUACCCUGGAAUCUGGGAUAACACUGCGAAAGUGGUGCUAAUACCGGAUACGACCGCACCGCAAGGUGUGGUGAAAGUCGGCCUCUCGAAGAAGCUGAUGUUCCGGGAUGGGCUCGCGUCCUAUCAGCUAGUUGGUAGGGUAACGGCCUACCAAGGCGACGACGGGUAGCUGGUCUGAGAGGAUGAUCAGCCACACUGGCACUGAAACACGGGCCAGACUCCUACGGGAGGCAGCAGUGAGGAAUUUUGCGCAAUGGGGGCAACCCUGACGCAGCAACGCCGCGUGGGUGAAGAAGGUCUUCGGAUCGUAAAGCCCUGUCAGGUGGGAAGAAUGUCUUCAAGGUGAAUAAUCUUGGAGAGUGACGGUACCACCAGAGGAAGCACCGGCUAACUCCGUGCCAGCAGCCGCGGUAAUACGGAGGGUGCGAGCGUUGUUCGGAAUCAUUGGGCGUAAAGGGCGUGCAGGCGGCUGGGUAAGUCUGAUGUGAAAGCCCGGGGCUCAACCCCGGAAGUGCAUUGGAAACUGUCCAGCUUGAGUACCGGAGAGGAUGGGGGAAUUCCCGGUGUAGAGGUGAAAUUCGUAGAGAUCGGGAGGAAUACCAGUGGCGAAGGCGCCCAUCUGGACGGAUACUGACGCUGAGACGCGAAAGCGUGGGGAGCAAACAGGAUUAGAUACCCUGGUAGUCCACGCUGUAAACGAUGAGCACUAGGUGUAGCGGGUAUUGACCCCUGCUGUGCCGCAGCUAACGCAUUAAGUGCUCCGCCUGGGGAUUACGGUCGC